rnacentral:lncRNA from 1 species
AGGAGGGUGAGGAACCUGCUAUGGCUAGAUUUUUAGGUGGUUUAAACCAAAAAAUUCAGGACAUCCUUGCUUAUAAAGAUUAUACUAAUGUAACCCGUUUGUUUCAUCUUGCUUGUAAAGCUAAAAGGGAAGUGUAGGGACGACGUGCUAGCACCAGUCUAAUAUUUCUGUAGGAAAAUCUACAUCAUGGCAGCCACGCAUGACUAUUUUACUGACCGGAUGUGCACCUACACCAACUCACACCGAGUCAACUAGCACUAACUCCUCCAUCCAGCGACAAACCACGUGGUUCUCCCACAAAUUCAGCAACCAAAUCUGUCUAGAAACCAGCCGGUAGUACCUCUUCAGUUGCUUCCACAGGUAGAACAAGAGAUGUUCAUUGUCAUCGUUGCAAGGGCUUUGGACAUAUGCAGCGUGAUUGUCCUAGCAAGCAUGUUUUGGUGGUCAAAGAAGAUGGUGGGUAUUCCUCUACUAGUGAUUUUGAUGAAGAUAGACUUGCUUUGCUUGCGGUUGACAAUGCAGGAAGUGAGGAACGACUAGAAGAACAGAUUGGUGUUGAGGAUGUAGAGCAUUAUGAGAGCCUCAUCGUGCAGCGUGUGCUUCAUCAACAAAUGGAGAGCAGAAUCAGCGGCAUACAUUGUUUCAAACAAAGUGUGUCAUAAAGAGCGUUCUUGUCGCUUGAUCAUUGUUGGAGGUUGCUGCAACAACUUGGCUAGCAGCGAUAUGGUGGAGAAACUUGCACUUACAACCAAACCGCACCCACACCCAUAUCACAUUUGAUGGCUAAACAACAGUGGUAAGGUAAAGGUAACCAAGAUGGUACAAGUUAAUUUUGCUAUUGGUUCGUAUCGUGAUUUUGUUGAAUGUGAUGUUGUGCCUAUGGAAGCUUGUAAUAUUCUACUAGGUAGACCAUGACAAUUUGAUACAGAUUGUAUGCAUCAUGGUAGAUCAAAUUAGUAUUCUGUCAUACACCAUGAUAAGAAAAUUAUUUUGCUUCCUAUGUCUGUUGAAGCUAUUAUGCGUGAUGAUGUUGCUAAAGCUACAAAAGCUAAAACUGAAAACGGUAAACAUACCAAAUCUGUUGGUAAUAAGAAAGAUGAGAUAAGAUUGAAAGGUCAUUGGUUACUUACUACUAAAUCUGAUAUUAAUGAAUUGGUUGUUUCAACUUUUGUUGCCUAUGCUUUGGUAUGCGAGGAUGCUUUGAUCUCCAAUCACGAUAUGCAGCAAUCUUUGCCCGUGCUGUUGCUAACAUUUUGCAGGAGUAUUUUGAUAUUUUUCCAAGUAAGAUACUAGCAGGACUGCCACCAAUACGAGGAAUUGAGCACCAAAUUGAUCUUAUUCCUGAUGCAUCUUUGCCGAACCGUGAGCCAUAUAAAACAAAUCCGGAAGAAACAAAAGAAAUUCAGUGACAAGUGCAAGAACUACUUGACAAAGGUUACGUACAUGAGUCUCUUAGUUCUUGUGCUGUUCCGGUUAUUUAAGUACCUAAGAAAGAUGGAACAUGGCGUAUUUGUGUUAAUUGUAGAGCUAUUAAUAAUAUUACCAUUCGAUAUCAACACCCUAUUCCACGUUUAAAUGAUAUGCUUGAUGAAUUGAGUGGUGCUGUUGUGUUUUCCAAGGUUGAUUUGUGUAGUGGGUACCACUAGAUUCGAAUGAAAUUGGGAGAUGAAUGGAAAACUGCUUUCAAAACUAAGUUCGGUUUAUAUGAGUGGUUAGUCAUGCCUUUUGGGUUAACUAAUGCACCUAGUACGUUCAUGCGAUUAAUGAACGAGGUUUUACAUGCAUUCAUUAGGAAAUUUGUUGUUGUUUACUUUGAUGAUAUACUAAUCUACAACAAAUCCAUGGAUGAACAUCUUGAUCAUUUACGUGCUGUUUUUAAUGCUUUAGGAGAUGCACGCUUAUUUGGUAACCUUGAGAAAUGCACCUUUUGCACCGAUUGAGUGUCUUUUCUUGGCUAUGUUGUGACUCCAUAGGGAAUUGUGGUUGAUAAAGCCAAGGUUGAAGCUAUACAGGGAUGUCCUGUACCAAAGACAAUCACACAAGUGCGGAGUUUUCUAGGACUUGCUGGUUUCUAUCGCCACUUUGUGAAGGAUUUUAGCACCAUCGCUGCACCUUUGAAUGAGCUUACAAAGAAGGGAGUCCCUUUUAACUAGGGCAAUGUGCAAGAUAAAGCCUUCAACAUGCUUAAAGAUAAGUUAACACAUGCACCUCUCCUCCAACUUCCUGAUUUUAAUCAGACUUUUGAGCCUGAAUGUGAUGCUAGUGGAAUUGGAUUGGGUGGUGUUUUGUUACAAUAAGGCAAACCUGUUGCAUAUUUUAGUGAAAAAUUGAGCGGGCCUGUUCUGAAUUAUUCUACUUAUGAUAAGGAAUUGUAUUCUCUUGGUCGCACUUUAGAAACAUGGCAGCAUUAUUUAUUGCCCAAAGAGUUUAUUAUUCAUUCUAAUCAUGAAUCUUUGAAUCAUAUUCAUAGUCAAGGAAAAUUGAACUGUAGAUAUGCUAAGUGGGUUGAAUUUAUUGAAUCUUUUCCUAUGUUAUUAAGCACAAGAAAGGGAAAGAUAAUAUCAUUGCUGAUGCUUUGUCUAGGAGAUAUACUUUGCUGAAUCAACUUGAUUACAAAAUCUUUGGAUUAGAAACAAUUAAAGAUCAAUAUGUUCAUGAUGCUGAUUUUAAAGAUGUGUUGCUGCAUUGUAAAGAUGGGAAAGGAUGGAACAAAUUCAACGUUAGUGAUGGGUUUGUGUUUAGAGCUAACAAGAUAUGCAUUCCAGCUAGCUCCGUUCAUUUGUUGUUGCUGCAAGAAGUGCAUGGAGGUGGCUUGAUGGGGCAUUUUGGAGCAAAGAAAAUGGUGGACAUACUUGCUGGUCAUUUCUUUUGGCCAAAGAUGAGAAGAGAUGUGGAGAGAUUUAUUGCUCAUUGCACGACAUGUCAAAAGGCUAAGUCACGGUUAAAUCCACAUGGUUUGUAUUUGCCUCUACCUGUUCCUAGUGCUCCUUGGGAAGAUAUUUCUAUGGAUUUUGUGUUGGGUUUGCCAAGGACUAGGAAGGGAUGUGAAAUUGUGUUUGUGGUUGUUGAUAGAUUUUUUAAGAUGGCACAUUUCAUACCAUGUCAUAAAACUGAUGAUGCUACUCAUAUUGUUGAUUUGUCCUUAUGAGAAAUUGUUGGUUUGCAUGGUGUGCCCAACACAAUUUUUUAUGAUCGUGAUGCUAAAUUUCUUAGUCGUCAUUUUUGGAAGGCUUUAUGGGCAAAAUUGGGGACUAAGAUUUUGUUUUCUAGUACAUGUCAUCCCCAAACUGAUGGUCACACUGAAGUUGAGAAUAGGACUUUGUCUACUAUGUUAAGGGCUGUUUUAAAGAAGAACAUUAAGAUAUAGGAAGAUUGUUUGCCUCAUAUUGAAUUUGCUUAUAACUGCUCGCUGCAUUCUACUCCAAAGAUGUGCCCGUUUCAGAUUGUUUAUGGUUUAUUGCCUCGUGCUCCUAUUGAUUAAUGCCUUUGCCAUCUUCUGAAAAACUAAAUUUUGAUGCUACUAAGCAUGCUGAAUUGAUGUUAAAACUGCAUGAAACAACUAAAGUAAACAUAGAGUGCAUGAAUGCUAAAUAUAAGUUUGCUGGUGAUAAAGGUAGAAAGGAACUAAAGUUUGAACUUGGAGAUUUAGUUUAGUUGCAUUUGAGAAAGGAAAGGUUUCCUAAACUGCAAAAAUCUAAAUUGCUGCCUCAAGCUGAUGGACCGUUUAAAGUGCUAGAGAAAAUUAAUGACAAUAAAUAUAAGCUAGAUCUGCCUGCAGACUUUGAGGUUAGUCCCACUUUCAACAUUGUAGAUUUAAAGCCAUAUUUGGGAGAGGAAGCUAAGCUGGAGUCGAGGAUGACUCCAAUGCAAGAAGGGAAGGAUGACGAGGGCAUCAACAUCAACGAUACAUCACACCUAGACAAGCACCAAUUAUUUCUGGUCCUAUUACUCGUGCCCGUGUUCAUCAACUUAAUGAUCAGGUGAGUUCAUUCUUGAGUUCAUGUUCAUCAUGUUUAGACCGUGGAGACACGUGCACUCUUGUUUUGCUUAGGAACCAAGGAGAAGAUCGAAAGGGAAAUGAAUUCGCGUAGGUUGGAUUCGGACUGCAGAACAACACCAACUUGUGAAGGUCACCAUGGUCGCAUACGAACUCGGAUUGGAGCAUUCAAGUACUUCAUGGAAAGUGCCCUUGUGCUGAAAAUGAAUGGGGCUCUCGAGAAGAGAGGAGCAGCAAAGCCCCCGCCCCCUCCUGGACCGCUGAAGUCCUCUUUUCAAUGGAUCUAGCCUCAAGUUUAUAUCUGCUUAGAGUCGUCCACAAUCGUUGAUUUAUUGCAGACACCUUUUCUUCCACGGUGCUGCAUCACCUUAUUUUUGUCCAACGGGCCAUGUAUCAAGUUGGGUCCAUUAGGGACGCAUCCUAGGGUUGGAGCACAACCCUAGCACCCCUAUGGUCAACCUCUCGCCGUCUUAUACCCCUUAGCUGCCACUAGGAACACUUGGGUUUUGUUUAGAUCAAGUUUAGCUCUCGCUACUUACUUAUAAGCGUGCGUGCUAGAUCAGCCACCCAUCUUCCUAUCUUCGGAACCCCGUCAUAAUUGAGAUUGAGUUUGAAACCUUCAUUUACAUCUAGUAAUUUAGUACUUGUUCUACUUGUUCUUGCUAGUUCUUCGAUUGCUUGCAGGACAAGUGCUCUAGUGGCUGGGCGUCACGCUCCACAAGAUCAUGAUAGCCAUUGGAGGUGGUGUAUCAGUUGCUAAGGCGCAGUGCCCUUGGAAGGCUGUAAUCGGACCAUGAACGUCGUCUCCAUCUACCAUCGAGUUAUCCCAUGUCCUCUCAUCGAAAGAUUGAGAAUCAACCCAAAUGGUUCACAUUACUAGUCGGUGUGGACUCCCAUGGCCUCUUCUAGCGCGGGUGGUGGUGGCGUGUCCCCCUGGGGGUAUUGCCUGCCGCAUCGGGCUUUGGAUCUUGCCGGAUGGAUGGCUCUUGUGCGUCAUUGACGAAGACGCCUGGAGGCGUCGUGCCUCGGUCGGAUGCCAGCUUUGCUAGGAAGUCUGCUGCCUCGUUGUCACACCAGAGGAUGUGCUGCAGCUCGAGCCUGUCAAACUUCUCCUCCAGCUUCCAAACCUCCCGGCAGUAGGCUACCAUCUUCACAUUUGAACAUGAGGAUUCCUUCAUCACUUGGUCGACCAUCAACUCUAAGUUGCCCUGGACGUACAAACGAUGAACACCCAGGUCGGACGCGAUCCUUAGGCUGUUGACAAGCGCCUCGUAUUCAGCUACGUUGUUUGACACUUGAAAAUGGAGCUGGAUUGCAUAACGAAAGCGGUCCCCUUGUGGGGAGAUGAGCACGACCCCAGCCCCCAUGCCCUUUCCCUUGAGGGACCCGUCAAAGUACAUCGUCUAGUACUCAGUGAUGGUCAGAGGCGGGGGAGAUUGAGUUUCAGUCCACUCAGCAAGGAAGUCAGCAAGGACUUGCGACUUGAUCGUGGUCCUCAGGAGGUAGGAUAUCUGGUGCCCCAUGAGCUCCAGGGACCACUUGGCAAUGCACUCUGAUGCUUUGCGACUCUGGAUGAUUACCCCAGUGGCAUCGCCAUUACCACUGAAAUGGGGUGACUCUCAAAGUAGUGGAGGAGCUUGUGCUUGGUGAUGAGGAUGGUGUAAAUCAGCUUCUGGACCUACGGGUAUCUCUUCUUGGUGUCCGAGAGGACCUCGCUAACAAAAUACAGCGGUCCUGGACCUUAAGCGCGUGCCCUUCCUCCUCUUGCUUCACCACCAGUGCGGCGCUGACAACCUAGGUAGUUGCGGCCACAUAGAGUAGGAGGGGUUCGUCCAGGUUGAUGCAAAUAGAGUGGGGGGCGAGGCAAGAAACUCCUUCAGAUGAUCGAGCUCCUGCUGGGCCUCUUCCAUCCAUCGGAACUGAUUCGAUUUCUUGAGGAGCUUAUAGAGUGACAUCCCAUGUUCUCCCAGUCGGGAGAUGAACCAGCUGAGCGAGGCUAGGCACCCCAUCAGUUUUUGCACGCCCUUGAGUGCGGUGAUAGGGCCCAAAUUCUGUAUGGCUGCUAUCUUCUUGGGGUUCGCUUUGAUUCCCCAUUCGGACACGAUGAAUCCCAAAAGCUUUCCCUUGGGAACCUCAAAGAUGCACUUCUCAGGGUUCAACUUGAUGUUAUAGAGGCGGAGGCUCGUGAACAUGCGCUCGACGUUGCUGACCAGCUGGUUGGCCUUUCUCAACUUGCCUAUGAUGUCAUUGAUGUAAACCUCAACGAUCUCUCCAAUGAGAACGUCGAAGCACCUGUUCAUGCACCACUGGUAAGUGGACACAGCGUUCUUGAGCCCGAACGGCAUUGUCAUGUAACAAUACGUCUCGAACAGGGUGAUGAACGAGGUCGGAACUGGUCAGACUCCCUCAUCGCUAUUUGAUGGUAACCAGAGUACGUGUCGAGGAACGACAGGACUUCACACCCUGUGGUGGAAUCGACCACCUGAUCGAUGCGAGGAAGGGGUAGGGCACCGUGGGACACCUUUAUUUAGGCUUGUGUAAUCGACACAUAUAUCCCAUUUCCCGCUCUUUUUUUGGACAAGAACCAGGUUAGCUAUCCACUCUGGGUGGAACACCUCUUUUAUAAACCCGGCACCUAGGAGUUGGGCGACCUCCUCCCUAAUUGCCCUAUGCUUCUCGUCAUCGAACCAGCGCAAAUGCUGCUUGGCCGGUCUUGCUUCCGGUCGGAUGUCGAGUUUGUGCUCGGCAACUUCUCUCGGGAUUCUAGGCAUGUCAGAGGGCUUCCAUGCAAAUAUAUCCUAGUUCGCGCGGAGAAAUUCGAUGAGCGUGGAUUCCUACUCAGAAGGGGUCCAAUUUCUGGAUUUGCCGGAUUGUCGCUCGGUACGUCACCAGCAAUCUAAUCCACUAGAUCGGCAGCAUGAUCUUGUUGAGCAAGAGGAUUCAGAGCAUCAGCGCCAGCUAUUUCUUCUGUGCUCAUCAGUCUAGCAGUACUUCUAAUUCGAGCCACUAUAUGUAUUAGAACCAGGCACGCAUAAGAAAAUGCCCAAAAUAAAUGGAAAAUUGCAUCAACUUAAGGAAUGAACAUCACCUUUGCAUAUUCGGCAAAAGAUGAGGCUAAAGUGAAGCACGAAUCUCAAAGCAUGAGAAUUAGGGCAACGGAGGUCCCUUCCAAAGCAACGACACGGAAAAGUUACCAAACCCUCCCUCUGUUUAUAGGCACGAACAGGUGUCAUUUCAUAACCUCGCCCAACGGUAAAAAAGCAAGGUAAAAAAAGUGAAUUAUCUACCUUCAUUGCGAGACCCAAUUUAGUGAGUGAGGAGAUGUUUUUUGCCCUUGAUCGAGAUCUCCCGAUGUUUUGAGGGUUCGGCCCGUUGGAAUUGGACCUCACCCCCGAGGGGCUACUGUUGGGGAUCUUGAUCAAGGUCUUAAAACAUCACCUUCGCAUACUAAAUAAAGGGGUUGAUCAACCAUUUCGGCAAUCAAACCAGUCAUCACCUUCGCUGGAAGUCAACACCUAUACGCCUUCAAUUACUUUCACACAUCAAUUAGUGGCAUUCGUUCGCUGACCACCUUUGCCACGGAGUGGGCGAAGGUGGAGGCUAUUUGUUUCCAUUUGGUUGCAGGUGCGCGGAUUCAUUUCGACUGAGAAAGAACGCCGUCUGAAUCAGGAAAGAGCAAGCGAAAAUCCAUGGUGCCCUCACUUCCCGAAGUCUAAGGAGCAUGGAUUCGCUCGGACGAAAGUGUUGGGGAAAGCAGAGAUAUUUCAAAUGUGACCCCGAUGGCGUGGAAGGCGUGACCCCAUUGGAGUGUACAAAUCGAUUUAGGACUCCUGCGUCAUUUUGAUGACCUCGUCCAAUGAUAAAAAAGUGAGGUCAAAAAAGUAAAUUAACUACCUUGGUUGCGAGACUCAAUUCAGUGAGUGAGGGAGACAUUUUUUGCCCUUGAUCAAGAUCUCUCAAUGUUUCGAGGGUUCGACAUGCUGGAAUUGGACCUCGUCCCCGAGGGGCUACUGUUGGGGAUCUAGAUCAAGGUUUUAAAACAUCACCUUCGCACGCUGAAUAAAGGGAUUGAUCAACCAUUUCGACAAUUGAACCCGUCAUCACCUUCACUGGCAGUCAACACCUCCGCGCGUUCAAUUACUUUCACACAUCAAUUAGUGGCAUUCGUUGGCUGACCACCUUUGCCAUGGAGUGAGCGAAGGUGGAGACUAUUUAUUUCCAUUUGAUUGCAGGUGCGCGGAUUCAUUUCGACAGAGAAAGAACGCCGACUGAAUUAGGAAAGACCAAGCGAAAAUCCAUGGUGCCCUCGCUUCCCGGAGUCUAAGGAGCACGAAUUCGCUCGGACGAAUGUGUUAGUGAAAGCAAUCACAUUUCAAAUGUGACCCCAACGGCGUGGAUGGUGUGACCUCGUUGGAGUGUACAAAUCGGUUUAGAACUCUUUUUUUAUCAUUAUGUACAGCAUAUUCCUAGAAUGUAGUGAUUGAGUGAGGCUAGGUUCGGUAUGUAAAAGUCAGCAUCCCUAUCAAAGGGGAGGCACCCCUGUUGUACAAGGGUUCGUAUUUUUUUGAGAAAUACAAGCUCUGAGAGCAUUUAGUUUUCCACUUGUGUGUUCCUAAUCAUAGUUUUUGGGAAAGAGCUUGCUCUGCACCUAACACCCGGCACACCCUGCCACCCAGAGAGGGGACGAGAGGAGGCGCGGGUUCUAAGCGAGGGGAUGGGGACGGUAUUUAUAGGGAGGGGCGAGGGCCUUGGCGCGGUGGAUAAGGAGAGCCGGCCGGGGUGGAGGCUUACCAGGAUGGCCAUGGCAGUUUUGGCGAGGUGGUUUCUGCUGCGAAGCUUCACUUGGCCAAGGGGAAAGCACGGCGGCAGCGGGGAUAAGGUGGCCGGGGUGGCUCUGGCAGUGGGUGGCAGGCGGCUGUCGGGUUGGGGUGGUUUUGCAGGGGAGUGGGUGGUUUUGGGGAGGGCAGAAAGGGCAGUGGCGAUGGGGGAAUGGACCUGGCGUGUGGCGCGGCGGAGCGGUGGUGCGACGCGGCGGCGCUGGGGGAGCUGCACCGGAUCGGCGGCGCAGGCAGGUGGCGGGGGUGCGAGUGAGGGCAGGCCGGACCGCGUGCUGGCGGGCUGAGUGGCUGGGCCGCAGAGCGGAGUUGGGCCGAGGAGGUAGGCUGGUAGGCGGGCCGAGGGGAGCUGGGCCGCAUGGCCGGUUGGGCUAGAGGCACGCGCGCUUGAGGUGGGCCGUGGAACGAAGGUGGCUGGUUGCGCAGGGGUUGGGCCGGAAUGGGAGUUGCUCGGCUCAUGAGAGGUUUAAGGGUUUCUAUUGAUUUGAGUAAGAUUUGUAAUUUAAAUUUGAAUUGGUUUUCAAAAUUGGCUGGGAUUUGAGAUGUGGGCUGGGAUAGGGUACAGAAAUGGGACUUUUAAAAGGAUCCUCAAGUUAGGAAUAUUUGACUGAGAUGAGAUGGGAAUCCUAUAGGGUUUUGGUUGCUAUUAAUACUCAAAUGGAAUUUGAAUAUUAUUUCUAGGUUUUGCGAGAGGAAGGAUUUGGAAAUUUCUAUUUCUAAAAGGGGUUCUAAGGGAAACAAUCACGUGCAACACAUAUGCUAAUAUUUUGUGCAAGAUUUAUUUAUAAAAAGGUUUUGAAUAUUCGGGAAGAAGGUAUGUGUUUAGUUUAAGAAAAAAUUUAAAAAGUACGUAUUUUAAAUGCUCUAAAACGUGGACGUUACAUUUUAUGUUGUAUUCCUGUUGAUGUACAUCUCACACGUAUCAACCGCAAUUGUAUUGUACAUGUUACCUCAUCAAAAAUUUAUGUGAGGAAACCUUCAAGUGAAAAUUCAUAAAGAGAAAAAGAGUACAACAUUAAAUCUUCUUAGCUAUAUAAUAUUCUAUAUUUGCUAUUCUUUAUAUGAAUAGUAAUCAAUCUUCAAGCUUUAUACAUAAACUUCAUGAUUCUUGCAAUAAAGAUCUGCAUGAUCUAAAUAAUCAAGUGGUAUAGCUUCAUGUUAAAAUUCAAUAAUUAAUCAAGUUGAUUCCUUCUAGAUAUAAUUUAAAAGACUUUAGAUCUAAACAUGAUUAAAGAUAUGCUCCCCUCCUAGCGACAUCUUUUGAAUGUGUUCAAAAUGUCUUAGUCACAUUCUUCAUAAAUGCAUAAGAUGGAGGAACCGCAUCUUUCCCGCAAUCGGCCAUUGCUGCGUGCUGCAUCAACCUCCAUGGAUCCUUAUUGAAAACUACUCUCCCGUGGCCUCUUCCACGACGUGACUCUACUCUCCCGUGGCCUCUUCCCGCAGACGCAGAGGCCUGCAGCCGUGUUGAAACCCGGCGGGGACCGUACCACUUUGGCUUCGAUGUCGCCAAUUCCUCGCUGUCCCGUGCUCCAGGUUCACUAGCAGCCGCGUGAGAAAAACUGGCGGGGCUCGCCGCGCCGAGAAAAAUCUCGCCACACAGCUCACGAGUCACGACGGACACCGAGAGGCCGAGACCGCAGAGGCAAGGAAAGCCGCAAGCGGCGUUGGCGAGAGGCGGCCAAGCGGAAGCUAGCUGCCAGCGUGGAUCGCCAUCCCGCCCCGUCGUCCAGAAGAUAAGGAGCGCCGCUAGGUGCCGACACGUCGCGCCGGACGAGAUAAGGAUAGGCCAGCCUGGCCGGGUGACGCCACCGGCGAACGGUGUCCACUCCUGCCACAUCCGGCCAUGGAGCCGCUGGCUAUUUAUAUACGCCGCCGGUGGAGAGGAGCCUCUCAAGCAAGACUGCCUCUUCUUCUCCUUCGUAAAUACAGUACUAGUAAGCGUAUACUAGCACUAGCUAGUAAGCCAUGGCGCCGACCGUGAUGGCCUCCUCGGCCACCUCCGUGGCUCCAUUCCAGGGGCUCAAGUCCACCGCCGGACUCCCCGUCAGCCGCCGCAUCAGUAGCACCGGCUUCGUCAGCAACGGCGGAAGGAUCAGGUGCAUGCAGGUAAUAUAAUCGAUCGAUCUAGACACUGGAAUUCUUGCUGUUACGUUGUUCAUAUAAAUAAUACAACUCAAUAGGAAGUUUAGGAACUGAUAUGAGAGUGUCGUUGCUCAGGUGUGGCCGGCGGAGGGCAACAAGAAGUUCGAGACCCUCUCCUACCUGCCACCUCUCUCAACCGACCAGCUCCUGAAGCAGGUCGAGUACCUGAUCCGGAACAACUGGAUCCCCUGCCUCGAGUUCAGCAAGGUCGGGUUCGUCUUUCGUGAGAACAGCAGGUCUCCCUGUUACUACGACGGGCGCUACUGGACCAUGUGGAAGCUGCCCAUGUUCGGCUGCACCGAGGCCACCCAGGUGUACGCUGAGCUCGAGGAGUGCAAGAAGGCCUACCCUGACUGUUACAUCCGUGUCAUCGGCUUCGACAACCUCAGGCAGGUGCAAUGCGUCCUGUUCAUCGCCUACAAGCCCCCGGGCAGCGAGUAGACCGGCGCCGCCAAAUAAAAAGCUUAAAUACUGAGACUCUUCAGCUCCUGCAUGGGCAACCAUGAAGUGUCUGUUCGUUUUUUUUUUUGCUUCGUGUCACCUUGAUUUUGUUUUUUUUUUCCUUGCUUGCUUCUGCUGUAUCCAUGGCAUGCAUGCGGAUCUCUCCCCCCAACCGGAGAGUUAUCUACAUAGGACUAGCUACUAUACAACUAUCGAUCGUUGGGUGAGGAACAUGUGAAUGCUAGCUCCGGCUAUGAUAUGUAAUAUGGAUACUAGAGCAUACCCUGCCAAUCCGCCGACAAUACUAGAUCAUGGUUAAUUACUGGUGUUUUUGUCUAAUUUUUGUGUAUCUUUGCUCAAACUUACGCUUCUACGUAAAUCAAAUGUCAUGUAUCAGAUCAGUUGAGGAAAUAAAGGCUUACAAUACCUGUCCUUUUUAUUACCCCCGGUCAGAGUUGCAUACUUGCAACAAAUGAUUUGACAGUAAUUAUAAUUUGAUGGACUUAUAAAUUCUAGCUAGUUAAAGAGGAUGAGGCCAUUGAGUUCAAACACAUACUUUGUGAAUGAAAUGGAAAAUGUAUGUAUAAUUCAAAUAAGAACAAUGAAGUCAUUGAUACGACAAGUGCAAAGGCAGUGUGUUUUAUAUUUUAGAUCAUGCAUAGAGGUAAGAAUCAUACAACCACGCUCUUGUGUCUCCACUCCAUGAGAGAAGUCCUAGUAUCUAUCGGAGUGAAGAGUGAACUGUGUGAACAAGUUUCUUAAUUUUGAACAGAAUCAAUAUAGUAGUAAAUUGAUAUAGAAUAAUGCCAAGUCAGCAACUCAGCUUGCCACCACAUAUUCAUAGAUCGAUAGCACCAAAAGGCAGAUGACGAUGACCCUAAAAGGAUGUGAGACGAAAUAGGCCACGUGCGUCACUGCUUUUGAUUGGGCUCGUAGUAGUCAAUCUAGGCAUUCCCAUACCAUCCGACCUUGGAUAUUUUUAGGGCAUUUAGUUACUCAAGGUAACGAAUUACAUUUAAUGGUAAAUCGAUCGCUACGGGAGGAAGGAACUUUCGUCCACUCCGUUAGUACCGGUUGGAAUUAGCACCAGUAGAAAACACACCUUCCAUGCGCUUACUUUUAUCUCAGUUUAAAGUUGGCCCAGGACAAAAAGGGGCGUACCACGGUAAGUUGAAAUGGGGUGGAGUUUUAGUCACGGUUGGCAUUUGCAACCGGGACUAAAGUCCCCCUUUAGUCCCAGUUGUAACGGCUAGUUACCAGCCACCAACGGCGCUCCCCUUUUGUCCCGGUUGGAGCUUCCAACCGGGACAAAAGCACACCCCUUUUGUCCUGGUUGGAGUUACCAACCGGGACAAAAGGUUUACUCCCGGUUGGUAACUCCAACCGGGAUAAAACGGGGAGCUGUUUGUCCCGGUUGGUGUUUCCAACCGGGAGUAAACUCCCAACCAGGAUAAAAGGGGUUUGUUUUUGUCCCGGUUGGAAUUUUCAACCGGGACAAAAACUCCUCCCCUAUAAAAUCGUAAGACAGAGGCCUCUUCUUCCUCCUUCAGCCCGGGCCACUCCACUCCACAAGACAGAGAGCUUCAUCCUCCUUUCCAUGGCACCGAAGCAAGCCUAGGGGAGGUGCUGCCCAAAUUUUUUUCCUUAUUUCCGUGGGGAUUUUACUCAUCCAAAGUGUUGUGAAGGUUAGCUACUUCAUUCUCCUUUCAUUUAUUGUUAUUAUGCUUUAGAGAGGGAGAAAAAUGAGUUGGUUAGAAUGAGGAAGAAUGGAGAGGAUGUGUGUAUGCAAGCAGUGCUAAGGUAUGAAUUUUUGUACAUAUAGAUGGCUUCUGCUGCUGGAGGUAGUGGCAAUGGUGGGGGCGAUCAUCGUUCCUCUCGUGGCAAGGGGAAAAGCAUAGUUGGCCCGUGUGAUAAGCCAGAGAAAAUGAGCAUGUGGGAGAAAGCAAUGCUUCGUUAUUUGCAAAUAUGUCAUGAAGAUGCUAUUGCGGUGGGUCAGGAACCUCCUUUUGGUGGUCGUUAUGCUCUACCACCAGUCCCGGGUGUUUCACGUCCACUUAGUACUACCGUUGCAGGAGGCACAAAUAAACUACAGGAUGAGGCUGGGUCAGCGAAACCUUUGUCUUCGCCACCCAAGGAUGCUUAAAGUGAUCCUAGAUAGUACUCAGUGGAUGGUUUGUCAUAGUGCACCAUGUUGUUUGGAUCUGAAAUUUGAAUAUAUGUAUUUCUAUAUAUAUCUAAACUUUUAGCAUCAUUUGCACUACAAUGUUUGACAUGAUUUCAAUCGUGAAUAGCAUGUAGAUAAGUCGUAAAGCGUAUCAAAUAACCAUCAAUAUGAUGCGAAACGGAAAUGACACACUUACUCGCAAGAAGAGAAUAUAAUAUUUGUAAUCAUUGAAGAAUGAAGAAACAAUAUAUUUGAAUUGGUAAAAAAACAACUACCAUAUAACAUAAUAUUUAUAAUGUUGGCAAGAUAUUAGAGACCUGCAUGCUAAAAAUCAUAAUAAAAUUAGCUAUGUACAACAAAAAUAAAAAAAGAAAAAAAUGCAUAAUCCAUUUUCAUGCGUAAUACGAUGUAGAUGGACCGGCAAUGGAUGUAUAACAUGGACAGACGGAGCAAGGAGUUUGUUGAUGGCUUGCAUGAUUUUCUCAAAGUGGCCAAAGCGAACAAGUCAAAGAACGGGUUCAUAUAUUGUCCAUGCUUCAAAUGCAGUAACAAGAAGGACUAUUCACAAGCUUCCUGGGGGACAAUUCACAGCUACUUGUUUAGAUACGGUUUCAUGUGUAACUAUUUGGUUUGGACCAAGCAUGGAAAAAGAUGGGUUGUAAUGGAAGAUGAUGAAGAGGAGGAAGAUGACAACAUUUCGGACUGGGCUGCAGGCCAAGCUUUUGCAGAUACUACAAUGGGCGAGCCUGAUGAAGAUGAGUUUGCAGAAGACAGCUUUACUAAUGACCUUGGUUAGGUGCUACGGGAUGCACAUAGAGAUUGCGAAACUAAGAAGGAAGUAGCAAAGUUGCAGAGCAUGAUAGAUGAUCAUCAAAAAUUGUUUUACCCAGAUUGCCAGCAGGGCCAUAAAAAACUGGGUACUACAUUAGAAAUUAUGCAAUGGAAGGCCAAAAAUGAUGUGUCCGAUAAGUCAUUUCACAGGAUGUUGAAAAUUGUCAGGAAGAUUCUUCCCGAGAAUAAUGAAUUGCCGUCCACAACUUAUGAAGCUAAACAUAUUUUUUGCCCUCUAGGAUUGGAGGUUCAGAAGAUACACGCAUGCCCUAAUGACUGUAUCCUCUAUCGUGGUGCUGAAUACGAGAAAUUGGAUGCUUGUCCCGUGUGCGGAGCGCUGCGGUAUAAGAUCAGGCAAGAUGAUCCUGGUGAUGUCGAAGGGCAGCCUCCCAAGAAGAGAGUUCCUGAGAAGGUGAUGUGGUAUUUCACUAUAAUACCACGCUUGAAGUGCUUGUUCAGGAACAAGGCGAAUGCUAAGUUGAUGCGAUGGCACAAAGAAGAACGUAAGCAAGAUGAGAUGUUGAGACACCCUGCUGAUGGGGCCCAAUGGAGAUCAAUUGAUAGAGCAUUCCUGGACUUUGAAAUUGAUGCAAGGAACAUAAGGUUUGGUUUAAGUAUUAAUGGAUUCAAUUCAUUUGGUGAGUUGAGUAGUGGUCAUAGUACUUGGCUUGUGACCCUAUGUAUGUUCAACCUUCCUCUUUGGCUGUGUAUGAAGCGGAAGUUCAUUAUGAUACCGGCACUUAUCCAAGACCCAAAACAACCCAGCAACAACAUUUACAUGUACCUAAGAUCGUUGAUUGAUGAACUUUUAUAGCUCUGGAAGGAAGAAGGUGUACGUGUGUGGGAUGAGGAUAAAUAAGAGAUCUUUAACCUAUGAGCAUUGUUAUUCAUAACCAUCAAUGAUUGGCCUGCACUUAGUAACCUUUCAGGACAAACAAACAAGGGAUAUCGGGUCUGCACCCACUGUUUAGACGACACAUACAGCAUGUAUUUGAAGCACUGUAAGAAGGUCAUCUAUAUGGGUCAUCGUCAAUUUCUCCCUGCUAACCACCCGCUGAGAAAGAGAGGGAUGCAUUUCAAAGGGGUGCCAGACAAUCGUAAAAAACCUGCACACCAUAAUGGAAAGUGUGUCUUUGAGACAAUAAAGGAUGUAAGGGUAGUCUUUGGAAAGGGUCUUGGUAGCGAGCCUGUUCCGAACGACAAUAAUGGAUGUGCACCCAUGUGGAAAAAGAAGUCAAUAUUUGGGAGCCACCUUAUUGGGAAAUCCUAGAGGUCUGCAACGCAAAAGACGUGAUGCACCUGAUGAAGAAUCUUUGCGUUAACGUGCUAGGCUUCAUGGGUGUUUAUGGGAGGUCAAAAGAUACAUUGGAAGCAUGACAGGACCUGAAACGUAUGGGGCAACGAGAUGACCUACAUCCAGAAAAGAGAGAUAAUGGACAACACUACUUACAUCCUGCCAAUUACACUCUUAGCAAGGAAGAGAAGGAUAGCAUGUUUGAAUGCUUGAAUAGUAUGAAGGUCCCAUCUGGGUACUCCUCGAAUAUAAAGGAAAUAAUAAAUAUGAACGAAAAGGAGUUCAUAAAUCUCGAGGCCCAUGACUGCCACAUGUUGAUGAUCCAGUUGCUUCCAGUUACACUGAGGGGUGUUCUACCAAAGAGUGUCCGAUUGCUGCUUGUAAAGCUAUGCACGUUUGUCAAUGCGAUUUUGCAGAAGGAAAUUGAUCCAACCAAGCUAUUAAAGCUAUAGAACAAUGUGGUGCAAUGUGUUAUCAGCUUUGAGUUGAUAUUUCCACCAUCCUUCUUUAAUAUUAUGACGCACCUCCUAGUUCACCUAGUAAAAGAGAUUACUAUUCUCAGACCAGUAUACUUGCACAAUAUGUGGCCUUUCGAGAGGUUCAUGUCAGUCCUAGAAAACUAUGUUCUUAAUUGUGCCUGUGCCUGUCCAGAAGGAAGCAUCACCAAGGGAUAUGGAACAGAGGAGGUGAUUGAGUUUUGUGUUGAUUUUAUUGACUCAAUUGAUUCGAUUGGGGUUCUAACUUCACGCCAUGAGGAGAGGCUGCGGUGAAUGGGCACUCUUGGAAGGAAAUCAAGUUUGAGCAAUGAUACUGAUUUGUUCGAUAAGGCACACUACACUGUUUUGCAACAGUCAUCCUUUGUGGCUCCAUAUAUCGAGCAACACAGGCAGAUCCUAGUUUCCAAAAAACCGACGAAAUCUGAUACCUAGCUUAUACAUCAUCACAUGGAUACUUUUCCCUCCUGGUUGCGUCAACAACUUAUGGGUAACUCUGAGAUUCACCCACAGCUCACUUGGUUAGCCAGGGGACCUUCUAGCACAAUCGUGAAAUUCCAAGGCUACGAGAUAAAUGGUUAUACAAGUUACACAACCCAAGAUCAGAAAAGCAUGAACCAGAAUAGUGGUGUCCGUAUAGAUGCCAUAGACAGAAAUAGUAUAGCAAGGACUCGUAGUAUGGUUUCAUAGAGGAGAUAUGGGAACUCAAAUGCGAACCGCUGUACAUCGCUCUAUUUCAUUGCCAAUGGUUGAAGAUAACUGGCGUAACCAAAGAUCAAUAUGGAAUGACAAUAGUGGACUUGAGCAAGACUGGAUACAGUGAUGAACCAUUCGUACUUGCCAAUGAUGUGCAUCAGAUUUUCUAUGUGAAGGACAUGUCUAGCAAACCCAAGAGAAAUCCAGAAGAGCCAUAGGAGUCAAAGCACCACAUAGUUCUUCCAGGUAAAAGAAAAAUCAUGGGAGUCGAGGACAAAACAGACCAAAUAAAUGAUUAUGAUCAGUUUGAUGGCAUGCCUCUAUUCGCUGUUGAAGUUGACCCAAGCAUCAUGCUAUCCAAAGAAGAGGCUCCGUACUUACGCCGCGAUCAUGACCAAGGACCUUUCAUGAAUAAGAAGUUUUUUAACAUUACAUUGUAACACACUAAUUUUGCUUCACCUUUAUAUAAAGUUACAUUGUAAAGUUCUAUGAUUUCAUGUACUACUUGAUACAAUUUUUAAUUUAACGUAUCUAUGAUUUCAUGUGUGUUUAAUUAGUUGAGGUGAAGAUUUAUUCAAUCAAUAUGAACAAUGUUAACCACAUACAUCAACUGAAUUUUUCACACAUUGAAAUUAUUUAAUUUGAUGAUAGCGAUGCAAUAAAAUAAUUAUUUUAGAAGCUAGAAGAACUAUUAUAGAAUUAAUGACUCAUUCAAACUUAUUGUAAAUAUACUUACUAAUUUAAUAUAUUUUUGCAUGUUCGAAAUAUGUAAAGUUCUUAUUUUUUCUUUCCUGAAAUCUAGUGAAAAACAUAUAUAAAAUCUAUUUCCCAAAAACAGGUGGGAGACGAAAAAUAGGAAAAGACCCUUUUGUCCCGGGUGCCAAUUGCAACCGGGACAAAAGUUCCCCCUUUUAUCCCGGUUUUAAAUUGAAACUAGGAUAAAAGGGUAGUUUUCGAUUCCCGCUCGGAACGUACCCUUUUAUCCUGAUUUUAGUUUGCAACCGGGACAAAAGUUCCUUUAGUCCCGGGUUUAAUUAGGAACCGGGAUAAAAGGGGGGGCGAUAAAAGUAACAGUCAUCUUCUACCCCAUUGUAACAUCCCUAGUUUAAGUGAAAUAAUUCAAAGGUUAAUUGAAGUGAUUAAGGGUACAAAUCGCACAUAAACUCUAAACCUUGCCAUGUGUAAAAUUCAAAUGCACUUAAAACCUUGGAAAACUCACAAGAAGGCAAAUUGAAGUCAAAUGGGACCCAGCAAGAAACCAAUGUGAAAACCAGCAAUUUUAGGUUGGGAAGGUAGAAAAACACCCCAAAGUUCAAAUCCCAACCUUGAAAGCUUUUCAAACACAAAGAAUGAAAAAUGCCUCAAAAAGCACUUCUUGGGGGUAGAUGUUAAAAAUAGAAUUUUAUACAAGAACUCAACUUUUGGCUAAUAUGAAAGUUGUAGAACAUUUCAAAACAAGCAACUUUUGUUAGUUGCACAUCUUCUGAUUUUGAGUGGAAGGCCUUCAAAUUUCAGUUCAAAAUUCAGAAAAUUUGGGGAAAAGUUCAAACUCAACCAUGUCUGGCGUUCCACCAAACUUCCAAGCUUUCUAUCUCCUUUUCUGUUGAGUUUUUGACACAUGAGCCUUCGUAGGAGUUAUAGAGUCAGCUUUGGACAACAAGUUUUGUAUUUGGAAAUAUUGAAGUUUCAAUUCAAAAUUUGGAGAAAAAUCGAUGCUAACAUGCUGCCCUCGCUCACCACAGCGUCGCCCACGUGCACCGGCGCCGGUGACUGCGCAUGGUGCGUUGCGUCGUGCCACGCGGUGCCGUCCCGCUCACGCCACACCCCGACCUGUCACCGCCAGUGAUGGGAUCUGACCUUCCCCAGCGCUGCCCACUCCCUGCGCGCGCAAUCCUUACCCUCCGCCGUACAUCUCUCCCUGGCCAAUUGCCGCGACACGCCCACGUGUGCUCCUGCCCACGUCCCCGCGUUCACCGCCAUGUCGCGCCGCGCCACCAGCUCCGCCGUGAUGGCCAAUACCGCUGAUGAGGUGAUGACUCGGGCUCUCCCUCCAAGCCAACUCUCGCGUGCGACAACAAGCAUCUCCGCAGCUCCGCAUUCUUCCCCGGCCACUCCCUACAGCCCGCCCACGCACGCGCCACUACCAGCCACUCCGGCGCGCCGCUCUUUUGCUUUGCCAGUGCCUGGCUGCCUUCGUGCGCCCCGGCGGGCCUCAGCCCCGCAGAUGCCCUAUACACCCUCCUGGCACCCUCCCCACGCUAUAAAAGGAGGCCCAGCUCUCUUCGCGCAACCCUCCACCACCACCCCUCUCUACCGAAGCGCCGUCGUUGCCACCAGAGCCCUCGCCGUCGAGCUAGCCCUCCCGAGCAUCGCCACCGCCUACUAGCCCCUCCGGUUCAACUCUUACACCCGCGCAGCUUCACGAGCCGCUACCCAGCCUCCUCUACCACCGCCGGUGCCGGAGCAGAGACUCCCCCACCACCGCAUAACCCUCACCGUGGAACGCCGUCGUCAAGCCUCCUCCGCCCACGUUUCCUUCAUCGUAUCGAACCACGGUGAGCCUACGACUGUGCCUAAGCCCAUUCCCCCUCCUGUUGUCGCCGCCGCUCACCGGAAUUUCACCGGCAAGCCGCCGGCGAGGUCUGAAGACCAAUUUGAGAGCCCCAAAAUCUUCCUAAGGUCUAAAUCGUAAAAUAGCAGGACCGCUCUAUGAAAGUUUAACAGUUCCAGGGGCCUUUCUGCGAAACAUUGGAAAUGUGUAGGAAUUUUUAAAAAGAUGGUAAAAAUGUGAAAUCAAUUUUGUUAGACUCCUGAUGCACAUGGCUAACUAGGAAAAAUACUUUCUUUUGUAAUAUACAUGUUUUACCUUACUUAAAUAAAUGCAUGUGGUUUAAUGUACUUUUUAUGUGAUAAAUAGUUUUCAUGCUCUUUAAAUUCUGGAAAAAUUUACAGUAGCCUCUGUUAGUGUUGGUAACCCUUCUGUAAAAUUUGUGGAACCACACUAAUGAUGAAGCUCUAGAUAAAAUUCUUUCUUCAUGUUUUGCAAUCUAAUGUUGUUUGGUUUUUAGUAAAUUUUGUAAACACCAAAUGCAUCUUAAAUUUUUUUAGUAGAUCGCUUGAGUAAUAAUGAAGCUUCUGUAAAAAUUCAGAACAUAUCUUAUUCGGUCCUUCCAAAAACAUUUUUUAAGUAAUAUCUAGUUAAAUGGAAUUAUAACAAAUGUUAAAUAGGAAGGGUAUAAGGGUAAAAGCUCUUUUAAGUUGUUUAAAAAUUCAGAAACAAGAUAACUUUCCAAAUGAAUGUUGAGCAACCCUAAACUGACCCCAUCUUUCUUUUGUGAAGUCUAAGUUGUUAAAAUAUUAUAUGUGUACACAAUCAGCAUCAAAGUCAACCCCGGGUUUUAAAUCACAACACACCUUACUUCAUGAAUUAAAUGAAAGUUGGAAUCUUGUCCAGGUGAAUGUGGUCAAAAGGCAAUUUACACUUCUGCAAUAUCAUCUGAAAUACAUCCUGCCUAUGAAAUCUUGAAUUAUUGCAUAUGCAUCUCGUGUAGAAGCGAACCUUGCUGACGGGACAUACGAGCUGCUUCUGAUGACAGAGGAGGAACCUGCCAAGCUACACUAGAUUGAGAUCGAGCAAGACCCCAGCCAAGCUUCCGACGACCCUCCUACUAACCUAGUUCAGGAAGGCAAGCCUCGGAGCAUAACCCUUAUUCAAAGUUUAUGCAAUAUCUAUGAUACUUAUGUUUGUGCAUUUAAGUUCAUAGGAGUUGCUUGAAACCAUAGCUGCAUGAUCUUAAGUACCUAUGUUUGAAUAGUAAUAUGACAGGUCGAGUAGCUACAAUGCUAAAUAGGGACCCGGUAAAAGUCAAGUGAUUUCCUGUCACUCACGAGUUAUAGGAGUUGUUUGCCUACUUAUGUUCUCACCAUAAGGACGACAGAUGGGGCUGGACUUUUGGUUCUGACUCGGUGGAAUUUAUCCCGUCUAUCUAGGAGAAAGCUGCUAAGGUCGGAAUAUGUCUAGAGCUGUGGUCAAGUGUUUGAAAGUACUAAUCUCAUACCUAGUUUGGGAUGGGGAAGCCUAGUACCUGAUUGAACCGGGACGUGAGUAGACCGCCCCACUCUCUCUAGAACUUGGUUCCCCUGAUGCAUCAUGUGGGUUCAAGGGCAGUCACGGUAUAAUGUCGUCUAGGACCGUGGGGCAUUGUAUCCAAGGGAAGUGUCCCUAACAUGUGCUUGGGGAUUGAUGGGGAUGGCUGACAUGUAUGGACCCGGUGUGGUAUUCAUAUGUUGUGGGGUUAGGUUCACCUUGCAAGGUUAUGAAACUCGAUUCGAAUCGUCUGCCUCUCACAGUUUGAGACUGCUUGACUGCACUUCUGUACUGAGUAAGAAUAGAACUGAGGAUGAUUAUCAUAAUGAUGAUGCUUGGAAUAAAAUAUUUGAUCACCAUCUUGAUUAGAAUAGGUGCUUACUUAGAAUGAAUAAGCAACUAGAACUUGAUGCUAAAACUUGAAAGUAAGAACCUAAUUUAGUUGCUUUUGGCAAAACAAAUCCCUCGGCAAAAAAGCCUUGCAUGUCUAGAAGCUGGUGGAGUAGUUACCGCCCGACGGUUAAGUCUUGCUGAGUAUUAGUAUACUCAGCCUUGCUUGUGGCUUUGUUUUCAGGAAAUAUGGUAGAUGUCGAUGAAUGUGCUGCUAGCUUGACUUGGCUGACCCAGCUCCCUCCAGGUUCGACGGUCGAGUGGGACCUGUCCUCGGUUGGCAAGGAUCGCGGUAACUGAUGACAUGGUAGGCUUCACCAUGCCAUCUCUGCUUUGACGUCUAGAUUGUCUCUUUAUUUCCGCUGCUUGAACUCUGAACAACUUUACUUUAUGCAAUUUCAAACUCUUGUGGUGUAAUAAUUAAAGUGGGACCUAUGUUAGUCUACGUGGAUUGUUGUAACCUCUGGACUCGCCUUCAUGUGAGUAUGCUUUGUUUCGAUCCGAGACAAGUGGUUUAUCGGGUGAAACCCAACAGACUACCAGGUUAACUUAAUUGUCAGUUCGCAUGUGAGGCGAAGUUGAGCACACUUUAGCUGGGUUCAUUUGGUUAGUUCUGCCACACCCCCACCCUUCAACACUUAGGAAAAUUUUUCACCGCCACCAAGAUUUGCACCCGUCCGCCUGCUCCGUCACCGUCGAUCUCCCAUCACCGCCUGUCCGCUUCCCUCGCCGGCCGCUGUUCUCUUCGUUGCCCGCCACCCCGGCCACCGUUGCCCGCCGGCCCUGGCUCCCGCAUGUACGGCGGGCCCCUUACUGACGCAAGCCACAGGCUUGCUGACGCAAGGGCCUUUUUUAUUUUUUAGUUAGAAAAUCAAUAGAAAUUUGUACAAAUCAAUAGAUUAGUAAAAAAUCAAUAGAAAAUUAAUAUUAUUAGUUGAAACUCAGUAGGAAACUACUAUGAUUAGUAGGAAAUUAGUAUAAUUUAGUUCAGAUGCUUAGUAUAAUUUUGUAUAACUUUAAGAAAUUACUAUGUUUUAUUAUAAAUGAUUCAAAAAUUAGUGGAAAUUUGUAGAAAUGCUAAACACUUAUUUCUAGUAUAAAUGCUUAGUCUAUUUUUUUUAUACAUUUGGUAUAAUUUUUAUUACGUUACUAUAAUUUAGUACAAAUACUUCAAAAAUUAGUAAAAAUUUCUAGAAAUUUUGUAGAAAUUCUUACAAAUUACAAGAAAUUUGUAGAAAUUUGGUAUAAAUGCUUAGAAAUUAGAAGAAAUUUGGUAGACAUUCUUAGAAAUUAUUAAAAAUUUGUAGAAACACUUCGAAUUUGGUAGAAUUUCUUAGAAAUUAGUAGAAAUUUGUAGAAACAUUUAAAAUUUGGUAGAAAUUCUUAGAAAUUUGUAUAGACACAUCAAUUUUGGUAGAAAUUCCAAUAAAUUAGUAGAAAUUUGUAUAAACACUUCAAAUUUCGUAGAAAUUCUGAGAAAUUAGUAGAAAUUUGUAUAAACACUUCAAAUUUGGUAGGAUUUAGUAGGAAUUAGUAGAAAUUUGUAGAAACACAUCAAAUUUGGUAGAAGUUUCUAGAAAUUAGUAGAAAUUUUAAGAAACACUUCAUGCAUGAUUCAUUAAAGACUUUCAUGUUGUUGUAUGAUUUCAUGUAUAUACCUUAACGUACAUGUAACUAUGAUUUCAUGUAACACAUUAAAGACAUUUCAUGUAAGUUUCAUUCAAGACAUUCUUAUGUAUUUCUUGUAAGUUUUCAUGUAAGUUUCAUUUCGUGUAUGGUUUCAUGUGUACAUUUCAAUCAAUUUGUUUUUUUCAUGAUUGUUCUAUGAUUUCAUGUAUAUACCUUAACGUACAUGUAACUAUGAUUUCAUGUGUGUUUAAAGUAGUUGAGAUGGCAGACGACGAGACCGCAAGGUAUCUAAUGGAGCAUAUUAGUGCUGAUAUGGGUAGUGACUCCAACCUUCCCGUAAUGUACACCGAUGAAGAGGUAACCAGGCGGACAUGUUCCUCAACAUGUCUGGUGAUGGCAAUGAAGAGCCUGAGCCCCAGCAAAACCUUACCGUGACGGAAGGUUUCGACGAGGUAUAUAUCAUUUCCAAUGUUUUACCCCAUCUAUAAUGUCUUAUUCGUUAUUACUAUGUACUAAUUAAUGGAUCUUGAACUGUUAGCCCUCUGGAUCGACGCACUGUUAGAAGGCCCGAGGUCGUACAAGGGUGAUGGAUGGCAGGCUUAUCAUCAUGGAAGUCACAAAAGAGGGUAGGCUGGUUGCUCCCGAAAAAAUGGCAAAAAAGUACAUGACUCAGAUCGAGGCAAUCUUAAGGGACAACAUGCCCAUCAGCAUCAGGGAAUGGAAGGGCAAAAGUACUAAUCCAUACGCGCUCCCGGAUAUAGAAAAGAAUAUGCUAUGGGAAGAUGUCAAGAAGCAUUUCACAUUUCUCGAAGGAUGUAAUGAAGAUGAUGUGAAAUUGUGGAUGUUGAAGAAGAUGGCCACACAAUUCCAGACAUUCAAGAAGAUGUUGGAUGCCAACUUCAUCAAGAAGGGCCAAACUCUGGAUUUCGAUGAUUGGCCAAAGUUGAGGGACCAUUGGGAGGCAUUUGUUGAAUACAAGAUGAGCGAAGACAGUGCGAAUAGGGUCAAGACCAACAUUGCUGAUGCUGGCAAGAAGGAGUACCAUCAUCGUUUAGGGUGAGGUGGUUAUGGCACAGCAAUUCCCAGAUGGCACAAGAUGGAACAAGACCUGAUCGAUCAGGGUAUCGUACCAGCAACUAUUGAAUGGCCUGAUCGAUCGAAAAAUUUGUAUUACGCUCAUGGAGGCUUCCUGAGCCAAGAGAGCCUCUUGAGCCAAGAGGAUGGGAUGCUGAUCUUCAAUGAGACAAUACAUCAGAAGGCUCAAAGGCUUAUCAAGAACAUUGAAGAUGCUAAGGCUGGGAGGUUAAAGGUGGACUGAGAGAAUGAUGAGCUCACAUUGGCCCUUGGGAAUCCCAAGCACCCAGGAAGUUGCCGAGGGUUCGUGGUCAUUCCGUGGAAGUUCGCUUUCUGAGGUGACAUCACCUCAUACAGAAGUCACAAGCAAAGAAAGGAAGAGGUUGAGGAGAGCUGGCGGCGCAUGCUAGAAUCCAGAGUGCAUUCACAAGAAGUAUGAAUGAAGGAGAAAAUCAUCGUUGAGUGGCCCUAGCAGUUGCGGAGUUGGCCCAAUCUAGAGCAUUGCCGGAUCCAAACAUCCCCAGCCCUUCUCAAUGCCUCGGGAGCAGCUAUGCUUCCACAGGGAUCCCCGAUCCAUAGAGACCAAGAUUACCUGUGGACGACGGUUUGGUGUGAAUGUCAUCACGCAACGCACCUCAUGUGAGCUGCAUACACCGGUCGGCAACCUCACCAUUAAGGUAUACUUAUACAUAAUAUUUAUGCAAUCUUCUGAAUCCAUCCACACCUCGGGAUCGGAGUUUAAUAACUUCUUUAUUUAUGUUAUAUGUAUAGGUGGCGUACGGGAGUGCCUUACCAAUCCUGCCAAGGCAGACAAGCCAUGGCAUGGAGAUUUCACCUGGCUAUGCUAGCGUCGGCCUAGAGCAGCUCGUUGAUAGCCAAUAUAAAGGCCUAGAGCUCGACCUCCCGAGAGGCAACGAGGAAAGGACACUAGGAGAUGCGCUUCACGUAAUCAUUCUAUGGCGCAAACGCUACAUCAUUAUCCCUGGCACAAAGGCAUCUCCUCAAAGGUCAAGACCGCUCCUCACAGAUCCCCAGCAGCGACCAUCUCCUCAAAGGUCAAGACCGUCAUCUGCACCACGACCUGCUCCAGGACCGUCAUCUCUAGCACAACCUGCUCUAGGACCGUCGUCACCACUGGGACCGUCGCUUCCUGCUCAAUCAAGGUCUCCAUCUCCACCACAUCCUGGUGGUGUGAGCGACGACAACGACAACAACACUCCUCCCCGAUCACCGUCACUUGGACUAAGAGCAGACCCAAGCAAGGAACCGGUAGCACCAAUUAAGAAGUCAUGACCACCGCCUCCCAAGCCAAGACAGAGAAAGAAGAAAACAAAGGAGCCUGAAGUGACUCCUGAGGAAAGCUGGGAGGCAAUGAGUCAAGCGGAGCGCUGCGCCCAAACCCAAGCAGAAGCCAGAGAGUGGUUCAGGAAAAGGGCUGAAGAAAAAAAAGCAAGGGAGAUGGAGCCACCACCAGUACAUCGAAGAGAACUAAAUUUUUUUAUCCGGAUGCAAUGAGAAGCCAAAAAGAGGAUAUCACUACUACCGAACUACGAACGAGUGCUAAUCAAGGCUGAUGAGAAGAAAAAAAGGAAAGGAAAGUCGUCUUCAAGGGGUGCUAUCCCCCACCUUGGGCAUCUACCAGAAAGAGACGCUAGAAAGAUAGCAGCAAUGCCCUUGGAUCAACAAGCAGAAGUAUUGAAUUCAUGGAAGAAAUAGGUAUGGGACUUGCUGAAUGUCUAGGGCAAGCUGAGCUGCCUGCUGCACCACUAGUUGAACCAAAAUGGAUAUUUGAGAUAGGCAAGCCUCUGGUAAGGCCUGAGUUGGUAUGGAAGCUAUCAGCAAAUAUGUAUGAAUUCCAUGAAUGGUACAUGAAGUCUCUCUGAUCAGCGCCUGGGCUCUGUAAGUGUCUGUUAAUCUAUAUGUAAAUUUUGGCUCAUAUCAUUAUUUUUUGUGCGUGCGUCAUCGUACUAACUUUGUCUUCCAUUUUAUGUAGGAUGCUAAUUCAAAUGUGACUUCAUCUUCCAUUUUAUGUAGGAUGCUAAUUCAGACGUGCCGAUGAGAAGUGUACCUCUAUGUUGGCUUCAUGGAUCCAUCCCUAGUUAACCAAAAACAGAUACAGGAGCAGCCAGAGAAAACGUUGGUGGAAGUAUAUAAUUUCCUAUACAAACAAAUAGGAUUUCAUACUACUUCCAUACAACUUCAAGUAAGUGUGUGUAUACCGUCUAUUUUCAUUUUCUUUUUCCUUACUUUAUUAAUGUUAGUUAGCUCUAAUAUAUAUGAACAUUUACGUACGCAGCUACCACUGGAUCCUCAUAAUAAUUGAGCCUGAAAGAAGCCACGUCACUGUCUUCGAUUCAUUGAGGAAAGCUCCAAUGAAGUACCAAGACAUUCAAGACAUGCUAGGCUAGUAAUAAUUUUGGACCUUUAUCUCUAUGCAAAAGUUUGUUUCCUAAAUUUUCACCUAACACUAUAUCAUUCAUUAUUGUAAUCUGCAGCGCAUGGCGAGAAUUCAUUAGGAAACACAACGGUCCAUACAAAGAAAAUCUUACAUGGAACACAGCCUUCCCGAUAUGUAUGAAGUUUGCACAUUUUGUACAUUCUAUAGUAUGGAUAUUUCAUAACUUAUUUUUUCCCCAUUAAAGUGCUUAAGAUAGGAACCCGAGAAUAAUAUAUGUGGCUACUACAUUUGUGAGCACAUGCAUGGUUUUGUGGGAUCCAAGGGAAAGAUGACGCCGCAUGACUAUAAAGUAUGUAAAAUAAAACUAUUAAUAGUUAAUUAUUUUCUACCUCCUUAUAUUUAAUUGUUAGUGUAAAAUUCACAUUUUUCCAAAUGAUAGAUGUAUAAUAUUCAACAGGGAGUCUUGAGGAAGGAAAGAGUAGCAGCAAUAUGUGAAGGUCUCGUUGGAUUCCUAUUGGACGAGGUGGUAAAUCCACAAGGAGAAUUUUAUUACGAUGGACAAAAAUUAGUCGCACCGAGCAACACCUCGACAGGAAGAUCCAAUAUAGUUUAAUUUGAUUUGUAUAACACACUAAGAUUUGUAUAGUAUGCUAAGAAUUGUAUAUAUACUAAGAAUUGUAUAUAUAGGAAUUGUAUAAAUACUAGUUUGAUUCGUUUAAAUACUAGUUUGAUUUCGUUAUAAAAAAAGUCUCAACUACUAAAGGUUAACUAAAGGGGUACGUACGUGAUGCAUGAAAUUACAAGCGCCUGCAUGGUGCGCGUUUGAAAUUUCAAGCAUGACUUUAGUCUCUGUUGGAAAAACCAACUGGGACUAGAGGGCCCCCCUUUAGUCCCGGUUGGUAAAACCAACCGAGAGUAAAGGGCCUAUCCCGCGCCUAGCAUUGCAGCCCCUUUAGUCCCGGUUGGUUUUUCCAACCAGGACUAAAGAGUGUCUUUAGUCCCAGUUGAGUGAUCUGGAACUAAAGACCCCCCCCUCCCCCGUCUCGAUUGCUUUAUCCCGGAUGGAUAUUCGGUAGAUUUGCUCCCUACCAACUGGGACUAAAGGCAAGUUUUGCACCAGUGUGAGCGCGGUACUAAUGUGAGCAUUAGUAACGGGCCUAACAGCUAGUACCCCUGGGCCACCCUGUUACCCCCUUGAGUACCGGUUGGGGGAACCAAUAAUAAAGGCUACACAUUAGUACCGGUUGGUUCUGCCACCCGGUACUAAUGUGCCAUCGAGCCUUUAGUACUAGGUAGGGUCACCAACCUGUACUAAUGUGUACCCUUUAGUACCUGUUGGUUCCCCCAACCGGUACUAAAUUUUCUCCUAUAAAUCCUCCUUCUUCUUCCUCCUACCCGAGACAUUCACCACAGCUCGAGCUUCAUCCUAUCCAUGGCUCCAUAGGGAAGGUGCUGCCGGAUUGAAGAGCAUUUAGUGGGACCCAUUCAAGUGUUCUAAAGGUGAGAAAAUUCAGCCUUUCUUGAUAUAUGGUUAGUAUACUAAUUUUAUGCUUUAUAGCUAGAGUAAUUUGUUUUUUUAGAAUAAGGUACAAUGGGGAAAUUUUUCAUUCAUAUGCAUGUGUUAUUUGGAGGUCAUAUUUGUGAUUUUUAGAAUAAGCUAUAAUUUUUUGGAUGCUAUGUUUUCAUAUUAGUCAAAGAAAUGGAUAUGAGAUUAGAAGAAUAAUUUCAUAGUGGCACAUGUGAGCGAGAUAAAUUGUGGUACAUAGAGAUAAUAAGAUGAAAUAGAGGUAUGUAAUUAGUCAUUUUUACAAUAAGCUACAAUGAAGAAAAUUUUCAUUUAAAUGUUAUGUUUGAGCUAAGUAAAUUGUGGGGGAAAAUAUAGAAUUUAUUUAUAGUUUAGUCAUUUGCAAAUAGGAGCUAAAUAAAUUUUGGUACAUAGAUAUGGCUUCUGCUGCUGGAGGUAGUGGUGAUGGUAGGGGUGAUCGUCGUUCCUCUUGUAGCAAGGGGAAAACCAGAGUUGGCCUUGAUGAUAAGCCAAAGAAAAUGAGCACGUGGGAGAAAAUAAUGCUUUGCUAUUUGCAAAGAUGUCAUGAAGAUGCAGUUGCGGCAGGUCAGGAACCUCCUUUUGGUGGUCGUUAUGCUCCACCGCAAGUCCCGGGUGUUUCACGUCCACUUAGUACUACCAUUGCAGGAGGCACAAAUAAACCACAAGAUGAGGCUGGGUCAGUGAAACCUUCAUCUUCGUCGCCCAAGGAUGCUUAAGUCCUCCUAGAUAGUACUCAGUGGAUGGUUUGACGUAGUGUAUCAUGUUGUUUGGGUCUAAAAUUUAAAUAUGUGUAUUUCUAUCUAUAUCUAAACUUUCAGCAUCAUUUGAGUUUGUCAUAGUGUAUCAUGUUGUUUGGGUCUAAAAUUUAAAUUUUUGUAUUUCUAUCUAAACAUUCAGCAACAUUUCAGUUUAAUGGUAUUUGUUUCAUGUUUGUUAUGUUUCAUUUAUAAUUGUAUGGAUGAUCAGAAUAUCUUUGGUUCGAUAAUAUUUUGUAGAUGGAUCGACAAUGGAUGUACAACGUAGACAAACGUUCCAUGGAGUACAUUAAUGGCUUGCAUGAUUUUCUAGAUUAGGCAGAAUCCAACAAACUGCCAUCCGGUUUUAUUUGUUGUCCAUGCAGAAAUUGCAAAAAUGAGAAGGAUUACUCAUCCAGAAAAACUAUUCACACCCACGUAUACAAUCCUGGAUUCAUGCCUAACUAUUUUGUUUGGACCAAACAUGGGGAAAGAGGAGUUAUGAUGGAUGAUGAUGAAGUAGAAGAAGAUGACAAUAUUCCUGAUUGGAUUCAAGGAGGUGCCUUUGCAGAGGCUCCAAUGGACGAGGCUAAAAAAGAGAUGGGCGAGGUAGAAGAUCCUAUCGAUGAUCUAGGUCAAGUGUUGUGAGAUGCAAAGGAAGACUACGAGAAUGUGAAGGAGUCAAAAAAGUUCGAGUGUAUGUUAGAUGAUCAUAAGAAAUUGUGGUACCCAUAUUGCAAACAGGGGCACAAAAAAUUCGGUACCACACAUGAAAUGCUGCAAUGGAAGGCAAAAAAUGAAGUUUCUAACAAGGGUUUUGAUGAGUUAAUGAAAAUCAUAAAGAACAUGCUUCCCGAGGGGAACGAAUUGCCGUCCUCAACGUACGAAGUGAAAAAGGUUGUUUGGCCUCUAGGUUUGGAGGUACAAAAGAUACAUACAAGCCCUAAUGAUUAUAAUCUCUAUUGCGGUGAGAAAUAUGAGAAAUUGGAGGCUUGUCCUGUGUGCAAAGCACUGCGUUAUAAGAUCAGGCGAGAUGAUCCCGAUGAUGUUGAGGGGCAGGCCAGCAAGAAGAAAGUUCCUACGAAGGUAAUGUGGUAUUUCCCUGUAGUACCACGAUUGAAGCAUUUGUUCAGAAAUAAGGCACAUGCAAAGUUGAUGCGUUGGCACAAAGAAGAACGUAAGCAAGAUGAAAUGAUCAGACACCCUGCUGAUGGGUCCCAGUGGAGAAGAGUUGAUAGAGAAUUUCCCGAGUUUGAAAAGAAUGCAAGGAACAUAUGGUUUGGUUUAAGUAUGGAUGGCUUCAAUCCAUUCGGUGAGUUCUGUAGUGGUCAUAGCACUUGACCUGUGACCUUAUGUAUGUUCAACCUUCCGCCCUGGAUGUGCAUGAAGCGGAAGUUCAUUAUGACGCUGAUAAUUAUCCAAGGCCCAAAACAAUCUGGCAACGACAUUGAUAUUUAUCUAAGACCGUUGGUUGAUGAACUUCUACUGUUAUGGAAGGAAGAAGGUGUAUGUGUGUGGGAUGAGGACAAAAAGGAGUCUUUUGAUCUACGAGCAUUGUUGCUCGUAACUAUCAAUGAUUGGCCAGCGCUUGGUAAUCUGUCCAAUCAGUAAAAUAAGGGAUAUAGAGCCUGCACGUACUGUUUAUAUGAUACUUGCAGCAUGUAUUUGAAACACUGUAGGAAGGUUAUGUAUACGGGCCAUCGUUGAUUUCUUCCUGCUAAGCACCCGUUAAGAAAAAAA